rnacentral:rRNA from 1 species
AUGGAGGUCGCCGUAAAGAGGGUGUCUCAUGAAUCAAGGCAAGGGAUGAAGGAGUUCGUCGCCGAGGUCGCAAGCAUCGGACGGCUACGGCACCGGAACCUCGUGCCGUUGCUUGGCUAUUGCCGGCGCAAAGGGGAACUUCUCCUGGUUUACGAUUACAUGCCAAACGGAAGCCUUGAUAAAUACUUGUAUGAUGCAUCCUCAGCAGGUACACUGGACUGGCCUCAAAGAUUUCACAUAAUCAGAGGUGUGGCUUCUGGGUUAUUGUAUCUCCAUGAUGAGGAUUGGGAGCAGGUUGUCAUCCACCGAGAUGUGAAGGCAAGCAAUAUUCUUCUAGACAGCGAGAUGAAUGGGCGGUUAGGGGAUUUCGGCCUUGCAAGGCUGUACGAUCAUGGGACGGACGCCCAUACAACGCAUGUGGUUGGCACCAUGGGCUACCUAGCUCCUGAGCUUGGACACACCGGCAAGGCAACCCCGUCGACCGAUGUGUUCGCCUUCGAUGCAUUCCUUCUGGAAAUCACGUGUGGGCGGAGGCCAAUCGAGCAAAACGAGCACGACAACCGCAUCGUGCUCGUGGAUUGGGUGAUCGAGCAAUGGCGCAAGGGUUUGAUCAUUGGCGCGGUGGAUACGAGGAUUCCAAGUGGGUUUAGUCCGGACAUGGUCUCGCUGGUGCUGAAACUUGCGUUGUUAUGCUCGCACCCAUUGCCUAAUGGAAGGCCAACCAUGCGGCAGGUCAUGCAGUACCUCGACGGCGACAUGGUCCUCCCGGACUUGUCGUCCGCGUACCUCAGUUUCACCAUGCUGGAGCGGAUGUAUGAUGGGGACUUCAACCAGAAAAUGUUGCCAUACGAAUCAUCGACGAGCAUGGGUGCAGUUUCUGAUAUAUCUGGAGGGAGGUGA